AAAUGAGUUUGAUCCUGGCUCAGGGUGAACGCUAGUAAUAUGCUUUACACAUGCGAGUUGUGCGAUUUUUUGUCGCAGCGAACGGGUGAGGAAUACGCAAAACAAUUUACCUUUUAAUUUAAGAUAAAUUAUAUCUAUAAUAAAUUUUGUUUGUUUAUAGAGUGAAACUAAUUUGUUAGUUUGUAAUAAUAUUAAAUAUAUAAAGAUAGUUUAACAAUCGUUAAAAGAUAAGUUUGUGUAAGAUUAGGUAGUUGGUAGAAAUAAUAGUUUACCAAGCCUUUGAUCUUUAGUUGGUCUGAGAGGACGUACAACCACACUGGAACUGAGACAAGGUCCAGGCUAAUUUUUUGGCCAGCAGUGAGGAAUAUUGGACAAUGAACGAAAGUUUGAUCCAGCAAUAUUACAUGAAUGAUUGACGGCUAAUUUUUGGUUGUAAAUUUCUUUCGUUAAAAAUGAUAAUGACAUUAUUUAAAGAAGUUUAAGUCCCGGCUAAUCUCGUGCCAGCAGCCGCGGUAAUACGGGAGGGGCAAGC
rnacentral:rRNA from 16 species